rnacentral:snoRNA from 1 species
UGCCUCCUGGUGCUUAGCACGGGCAGUGUUUACGCUGACUGUAUAGAAAAGGGAGGAAGAGUAAACUUGCCCCAUCUGUACACCUCAGUCCAGGCUUGUGCCUUGUCUGUAUUGUGAAUGGCUUCAGGA